CCCAUAAAGUUGUUCUCAGUUCGGAUUGUAGUCUGCAACUCGACUACAUGAAGCUGGAAUCGCUAGUAAUCGUAGAUCAGCAUGCUACGGUGAAUACGUUCCCGGGUCUUGUACACACCGCCCGUCACACCACGAGAGUUUGUAACACCCGAAGCCGGUGGAGUAACCUUUUAGGAGCUAGCCGUCGAAGGUGGGACAAAUGAUUGGGGUGAAGUCGUAACAAGGUAGCCGUAUCGGAAGGUGCGGCUGGAUCACCUC
rnacentral:rRNA from 1 species